rnacentral:rRNA from 1 species
UACAGAGGGGGCAAGCGUUGUUCGGAAUUACUGGGCGUAAAGGGUUCGUAGGUGGCCAACUAAGUCAGACGUGAAAUCCCUCAGCUCAACUGGGGAACUGCGUCUGAGACUGGAUGGCUUGAGUGCAGGAGAGGAACGCGGAAUUCCAGGUGUAGCGGUGAAAUGCGUAGAUAUCAGGAAGAACACCCGUGGCGAAGGCGGCUUUCUGGGACGAUACUGACGCUGAGACGCGAAAGCGUGGGGAGCGAACAGG